GCCCCGGCUUCAGCCCGGGGGGGUACCGGAUCGCGCAGAAACGCACUGAACAGGCCCCUGCCAUCGGGCUCCAGAAACUACCUGGGCUCGGCCGACCUGUUGCCUCACAUUGGCCAAAGAGGGGGAAACCGGAAGGAGGGAAUUCUGCUGCGGCGACUUGACUUUCCAGGCCCCGAGCAGAAAGGCAUUGGCGUUUGUAGACCGUGACCCGCCCCUUCUCCGGCCUUGCCUGGGGGUACCUCUGGCCCUGGACCUGCCUGGGCAGAGGCCGAGUGAAGGGCCUGAACGGGAGGAGAGGAAGGGCCUAGUUCCUAGGAGAGGCACAGCACGGACAAAGGCUCAUGGGGUGGGGGUGCCCAGUGAUCCAGUCCUGGCUCGGGAAGGGAGGCCCGAGUUCCCUGGGAACUGAAAUCUGCUAGCAGCACUGUGAAGGAGUGCAUUUCCCCCUCCUAAUGACAGAGGAAACUGAGGCUUCGGGGAGGUUGGGGAUUUGCCCUUGACACGCAGAUAGGAGGAGGAGGAAUUGAGCGUGUCCCUGGGCCUGCAGGCCCCCACACCCCUCCCCAGUCUUCUACAAGACCUGGCAUGGUGGGAGGAGAGAGGGGGAAGCAGAGAGGAAGCAUAGGGCUCCUAGGGCACCAAGGGAGACAGGCGCCCGGGGGAGGGAAUCUGGGGGUCUAGCUUUCCUUGGAGCAGUACGGAAGGUAACAGGGAAGAUCAGGAGGACAGACAGCUGAGAUGGGAGACCAGAGAGAUGGGCUCCAGGACCCCUGGGGAGCCAAGCUCUCCCCCACAGAACCUAGCUUCCCCACCCCACCUGGAGCUUCACCAAGGGCUCCUCAGCAGUGAAGUGGCCCAAGCCUCCCAGUUUGGUGGCCGAGUGGAGGUGGUGGUGGUGUCGUGGCUCCUGGAGACACGACAUAACCAGGAGGUGAGAAGGGAUAAACCAGGGGUGGGCCUGGGCUGGGACUCAUGGCAUGACCCCAAUUCUCUCUCCUGAAGCUCGACCCACCAUCCCCAGGAUCACACAGGAGAAUCUCAUCCUCACAGCUUGGAUUGGUCCUGGGGGCCCCCUGGUGUGCUGCUAACUGGUGUACCACAAUGGUCAGGAGCAGCCCAGAGGGGAGCCAGAAGAGACCCUUGCCCUCACCUUCUAUCCCCAUUUCUGCAUCUUUUGCACUGGUAUCCCGGGGUCCACAUUCCCAGUUCCUGGGACUGAAAACCGCAGCAGUCCAGCCAGCUCCAGGGACAGAGUGGCCCAGCCACCUACCAUGUACCCUCCUCAGCUGCCCACUGGACCCAGGUCCUGAAUGAAGCUGUCCACCUGCCUCACCCCAGAAGAGGCUGGACGGUGGCUGCCUCGUGCCCCCUGCAGUCUCCCACAGCUAGGGCCUGAUGGCGUGCCUCCUUGUGCUAAGUCUCCUGGGAACCCCUGACCCUGCUGGCCCCUCUCAUCCACCCCUACCCUGUCCACCCUGGACACCCUCUGGGGACCUGUCAGCCUGCUGGUUCCCCCCACAGAUCUCUAGGGGGCAGCCUCCGUGGGACAAGAGUGGCACAGUGCUGGAGGAGAGGAAUGAGGGGCCUUCUGGUGUCUGAUGCACAGAUGUGGCCCUUUCAAACCCUGGUGUCACCCUCUGGGUUACUGGAUCCCCAGCGCCAGCCUCUUCCUGGGCCAGUGAGGAAGGGUGGAGGAAAGCUCUUCUCUGAGUGCAUGCGUGGGAGUUGGGGGGGUGCCUGAGCCUUCCCCGUGCAAGGGGCUCCGCUUGGGACCCUGGAAACUGCUUCCCUACUGGGAGAAAUGCGUGUUGGAGUCACAGGGGUCCCUACCCUCAGAGAUCCCCCUCCCACUGCAGGGAGCCCCACCCCAUAAGAGGGGCACGGAAGUCCACGUCUGCCCACCCCCGGUGGCCUCUGCUGUGGCUGUAUUGGCCUAGAGGGGCUGGUUGGGGAGGGGCAGGGCUGAGCCCUCAGCAUCUGCUCCUGUCCCUGCUUUUUCACUUCUGCUGCCUGAAGUGGUAGCCCCGCCUGCUGCUCCUCCACUCCCUCCCUUUCUCUUCUCUCCCCAACGGGGUCCAUGCUGUGUGACAGGGUCUCCAUGCACUUUAUUUAUUUGCAGUCUGUUUUCCAGGCAGCAGAGCUUCUACAAAUGCAGACACCGACCGGAAUGACUUAUGCUUUUCUGUGUGUGAUUUACUGUAUACUGGUCAGCACAGGCUGGCCAGAGAGAUGUUCUUGUUUCUGGUGUUGUCACGUCUUGUUUUCUCUAAGUUUAAAAAAAAAAGUCCUUGAUUUAAUACACUAAAAUCCCAA